rnacentral:rRNA from 1 species
UACGUAGGUGGCAAGCGUUGUCCGGAAUUAUUGGGCGUAAAGCGCGCGCAGGCGGUUCUUUAAGUUGGGUGUCAAAGGCAGCGGCUCAACCGCUGUACGCACCCAAAACUGGAGAACUUGAGUGCAGGAGAGGAUAGUGGAAUUCCCGGUGUAGCGGUGGAAUGCGUAGAGAUCGGGAGGAACACCAGUGGCGAAGGCGACUGUCUGGCCUGUAACUGACGCUGAGGCGCGAAAGCGUGGGGAGCAAACAGGAUUAGAAACCCUCGUAGUCC